rnacentral:rRNA from 1 species
UACGUAGGCCCCAAGCGUUAUCCGGAAUUACUGGGCGUAAAGCGUCUGUAGGCGGUCCGGAAAGUUUCGUAUGAAAGACCGAAGCUCAACUUCGUGUUUGUGCGGAAUACUAUCGGACUAGAAUUAGGGAGAGGGAAGCGGAAUGGUAAGAGUAGAGGUGCAAUUCGUUGAUACUUACCAGAACACCAAAAGCGAAGGCAGCUUCCUGGAACUAUAUUGACGCUGAGAGACGAAAGCGUGGGGAGCGAAAAGG